AUCAUGAAUCUGAAGUUACAUUGUUCAGAUUCUUUCGAGAAUCUUGCGUGUAACAUGGUUGGCGUGUAGAGGUUGACAAGAGUACAGACAGGGCGGCGAUUGUCCUUGCAGUUUCGACUGCAGGUUGAGAGUUGGCGUCUUGCCAUGAAAAUUGACUAAAGGAUGCUGCGUAGCCUAGCCAACAGAUUCUAAAACGAUUGGAGUGAUCCUGAUCCUUCUCCUUUGGAGAGGAAUUGGUUGAUCCUCUGACAACUGUAUAUUCCUAAAUCUUUCGCUACAUGAUCUCUGGAUCCUUGCAGUUGGGUAAAACCAUACAGUUGACAUUU